AUGCAUGUCUUAGUAUAAGCUUUUAUACAGCGAAACUGCGAAUGGCUCAUUAAAACAGUUAUAGUUUAUUUGAUGUUCGUUUUACAUGGAUAACCGUGGUAAUUCUAGGGCUAAUACAUGCUCGAGGCGCGUUUUACGCGUGGCGUUUAUUAGACUUUAACCAGCCCCUUUGGGUAAUCGGUGAUUCAUAAUAAAUUAGCGAAUCGCAUGGCUUUGCCGGCGAUGUAUCAUUCAAGUUUCUGACCUAUCAGCUU
rnacentral:rRNA from 1 species